rnacentral:ncRNA from 1 species
AUAUUAAAAAAUUCACCAUUAAUAAAUAUCCCGCUUGGGAAUACAUUUGCAAGAAUGAAAUUCAAAGGAAUUGAUGAAAGCCCACACAAGCAUUGGAACAUAAGAUUUAUUUCAAUGCAAAGUGUAAAACCUUGCUAGGACUUGAUGUGUAGCAAACCCUCUUGAAAGAGAAGGGUGCCUUCAAGCAUUGAGUUUGGUAUCUUAGCAAACGGUCAAUGAUAAGGGAAAGAAAAGUACGAAUAACAUCGAGUCAUCUUAUGUCACUUAUGUUCUAAAAGUUAUGUAGUGCUAUAUUGGGACAAAGGAUCGCAAUCUUGCAGGGAUGGACUAACUCCAAAAACUAGUCCUUAGUUCAUAUAGUAGGUUGUAACUAAUUACUUUGCAUAAAAUUAAAAUCACCAGUAAUCAUUCAUGAACCAUACAAAGGUGAAUGAAUAAUAUAUAUAUAUAUAUAAAGAUGAAUGCGUUUUCUAAUCUUGUACACACUGCCCAUCACACUUGAAUUGCAAUAGAGGAUGUUGAAGGCACGGUUAAUGAUUGGAGUAAUGUCAUAACAAAGUAAUUGUAUUGAAGAUCACCUCCUUU